CCUACAAUAACCUAGAUUCAUUGAACUAUACUUGCAUUACAAUCAAAGACAAUAGAGGAGUUCACGAUUUUACUAUGUGCACACGGCACAACAUUACAAGAAAGAGAAGACACCAAAUGAAUUUACAAAACAAAUAAACCUCCGACGACCACAUCUACUUAUCACAACCCAUCAUACUCAUGCAAAUACAAAGCUCAAAAGACAGCCUACAACAACCAAUCACAGCCUUUCCACAUCCCAAAAGGUAGUACAUAUCCACCAUGAAAUUAUCAAAACACCCAAUAGCUCUCUCUCUUUUUGCUUAGUGAAAGGUUAGCUUUAAUCAGUCUUGUUCUUCCAAUAACCUAGAGAUGACUCAGCGAGAGUUCUCAUCACUCCCUAGCUCAAUGGUAGUAGAGAGAUGGACAAGGCCUUCUGCUGAUCAACUUGGUGGCUGGCGUAGCCUGUAGAGUAUCACGUGGUGUAGUCAUUGGCAACAUUAUGUUUCCUAGUACCACUAACUCAUUCUCAUAAUCUCAUGAGCUUAAGCAAUCUUUUAUUGACAAUUGGAAUCAAGACGUGUCGAAUGGAUGUUACGAAGUAGUAACCACUCAGCAUCGUCACCUUGCCUUUGAGGGCAGGGCUGCUCAUAAUUGUCAGGUCCAAUAAGCAUUUUAUCCCAUCUGCAUAUCUAUCAAGCAUUUCUAAGAGGUCAAGAUCAAAGAAAUAGGAAGAAAUAGAUUUCUGCAACUUCUCUGUGACUUUAACCAGAGAUGCACAUAAAGCAGAUAAAGCAUAAGCUGCCACACUCGUUCAUUUGAUGCAAUGUCAAUAAUAGGUAUUGAACGGAGAAAAAACUAGUCAAUGUAACCUCAAUAUUUGCAUACAAUUAGAUAAACGACAGAUUUAUUUAUCAUAAAGGAUCACUGUCUAAUCAAUCGACUAAUUUUGUAAGUGUCAUUUCUCAUUGCCAUCGUCAACCUCCAAUCAUGGCCAAUUACCAGAACAUGGCCAUUAGCCUUCAACCCUAGCCAUUAACAUUUUUUGAACAUUAACCUACAACCAUGACGUUCCAACAUAAUCCCAAGAUGAAGAUGCAAUGAAAUAUGACUAGAGCCGAAUCUAAAUUUUUAACAAAUAAAUUAAAAACAAGCAAUCUAUGUUGAAAUGUUUUCAAAUCUGAAAAUUUCAUGGAUCAUUUUUCAGUCGUGCCUCUGAGGCAUUUCGUCGAAUACAUCAUGUGCAUUUGAUUGAGGAGUGAAACAAACACAUAAUAAGUCGCACUCAGUUCUUCCCAGAAAAAAGACCACACCACAAAUUCUUGAGAAACAAACAUCAAGUAGGUUCCAAGUGAAUGAAUCAACUUACACUUAAUCGAUCGCUUGGAACAAGAGGAGGAAGAUGAAGGCAUGGGGCUCUUGAGGAAGUGAAUGGGAUGAGGACGAGAAGGCACUGGCUUCUGAGAAAAAGUCACUACAACAGUACGGCAAUGAAGGUGGAAAUUUGUCCGUUGAAAGUGAUGGGCGGCAUGGGAUUUCAAGCUGGAGAGCUUGCGCUCAAAUUCUAGGAAAACAAAGUAGUUGGGGAAGAAAAAGAAUGACGUUUGUUCUUAGGAAUAAAGCUUU
rnacentral:lncRNA from 1 species